rnacentral:lncRNA from 1 species
CCUGUCUCCCGUUUGACUUCAUAUAGUGAAAAUUGUCUAAAAGAUAAGGCAGGAGCUCUGGUUGACACCCCCCCUGCCCCCGCCUCAUAGAUCUCUCUCUAGAAGCAUUGGAAGAGGCCGUCUCAAAAAAGAAAAAUAAAAUAGAAGCAUUGGAGGAAAGAUGUGGUUUGUAGUGAAACAAAUUGGAAGUCAAGCUCAGCCUCAACCACUUACUUGCUUCUGACCUUGGCAUGAAGUUGCAGAAGCUGACCUGGGUCCUAACUGUAAAAUGCAGAGGAACUCUAUCCAUGAGGAAGCUUUGUGAAGUCGAUUCAUUGCUAAUGUCCCUGUAGUGUCCACCACAGGAAACAUUACUAUUUGGGUUUUGUGACCCAGGAAUCCAUAUUUACCUGGCGGCAACGACACAGCCCUCACCUUUCCAGACCUCAUCUGGUGGCCUUGUAAUCCUGGAGCUGAAGCUGCCUACACACAAGCAAUCGGUCGCAGUGUAUCCGUGCAGGGUCCCAACCCACUCCAGGAUUCAUUUCGGGAUGGCUUCCCCUCCCUCAGCCAGCAUUAGGAAGAGGCCGGGUGCCGUGGCUCACACCUGUAGUGCCAGCGCUUUGGAAGGCUAAGAUGGGCAGACUGCUUGAACUCAGGAGUUUGAGACCAGCCUGGGCAAUGUGUCAAGACCCCAUCUCUACAAGAAAUUUUAAAAUUAGCCAGGCAUUGUGGAAUCCUGCUUUGUGUAGUUCAGUGCCUGCUGCCAAGUCAGAGCUGUGACCUCAAUGAAAGUGGCCCAGCCACAGCAAACCUCAGUUUCCAUAACAGUCCUGGGAUCCAAUGUGGCUUUCACACUACAUGUCACUUCACUCUGUUAUCUCUGACAGAAAACCAACUCAAACUGGCUUAAGCAAAAAGGGUACUCACUGGGCCAUGUAACCAAAAAGUGUAGGCAUACAUGUGGCUUCAGGAAUGGCUGGAUCCAGGCACUCACAUGUGGCAUCGGGAGUCCCUCUCCUGGCUGUUGGUUUCAGUUUUCUCUGCAGGGGUUUCAUUCAAGCACUGGUUCCCUCCUCAUAGUGGCAAGGUGGCUGCCCAGGACAAGAGGCUUAUAGCCACGGGCUCAGCUACUUAAGGAUAAGUUCCAUCAGAAGCCCAAGUUGAGGCCGGGCUUGGUGCUCACACCUGUAAUCCCAGCACUUUGGGUGGCCGAGGUGGGUGGAUCACUUGAGGUCAGGAGUUCGAGACCAGCCUGGCCAACACAGUGAAACCCUGUCUCUACU